ensembl:Mt_tRNA
CAUCAAGAAGCUAAAAGAUGUUAGCGUUAGCCUUUUAAGCUAAAAAUUGGUGCUUCCAACCACCCUUAAUGA